rnacentral:rRNA from 1 species
UGAACGCUGGCGGUAUGCCUAACACAUGCAAGUCGUACGAGGGUUUUUAACUCAAGUGGCGGACGGGUGAGUAACACGUGAGAAUUUACCUUUAGGAGGGGGAUAACAAUUGGAAACGAAUGCUAAUACCCCAUAUGCUUUCGAGUGAAACGGAUUUAUCCGCCUAAAAGAGAAGCUCGCGGCUGAUUAGCUUGUUGGUAAGGUAAGAGCUUACCAAGGCGACGAUCAGUAUCUGGUUUGAGAGGACGAUCAGACACACUGGAAACUGAGACACGGUCCAGACUCCUACGGGAGGCAGCAGUGGGGAAUUUUGGACAAUGGGCGCAAGCCUGAUCCAGCAAUGCCGCGUGCAGGA